rnacentral:rRNA from 1 species
AUUGAACGCUGGCGGCGUGCCUAACACAUGCAAGUCGAGCGGGUAACAGGUGUAGCAAUACAUGCUGACGAGCGGCGGACGGGUGAGUAACGCUUGGGAAUCUGCCUGUUAGUGGGGGACAACCCGGGGAAACUCGGGCUAAUACCGCAUACGCACUACGGUGGAAAGCCGGGGACCGCAAGGCCUGGCGCUAACAGGAUGAGCCCAAGUCGGAUUAGCUAGGUUGGUAGGGAACGGCCUACCAAGGCGACGAUCCGUAACUGGUCUGAGAGGACGACCAGUCACACCGGAACUGAGACACGGUCCGGACUCCUACGGGAGGCAGCAGUGGGGAAUAUUGGACAAUGGGCGAAAGCCUGAUCCAGCGACGCCGCGUGGGUGAAGAAGGCCUGCGGGUUGUAAAGCCCUUUCGGUGGGGAAGAAAAGCCUCGAGUUAAUACCUCGGGGUCUUGACGUAACCCAUAGAAGAAGCACCGGCUAACUCUGUGCCAG